UACGUAUGGGGCAAGCGUUAUCCGGAUUUACUGGGUGUAAAGGGAGCGUAGGCGGCCUGGCAAGCCUGAUGUGAAAUACCGGGGCCCAACCCCGGGGCUGCAUUGGGAACUGCCAGGCUGGAGUGCCGGAGAGGCAGGCGGAAUUCCUAGUGUAGCGGUGAAAUGCGUAGAUAUUAGGAGGAACACCAGUGGCGAAGGCGGCCUGCUGGACGGUGACUGACGCUGAGGCACGAAAGCGUGGGUAGCAAACAGG
rnacentral:rRNA from 1 species